rnacentral:lncRNA from 1 species
ACUGCAUCCCCUAGCGGCGCCCGGGUGGCUGCAGCCGCUGGCCCGAAAAUGCUGCUCGGGCGAGCAGGGGUCAGGCGGGAAAAGAAGACUCCAAAUCCACUCUCUGCUCGCCCCCAGGGCAAUGCUGCCAGGAGAGGGAGUGGGUUCCCCCGCAGGCUAUCCCACCGAUGGGGCUGAGAGCUUAAUUUGGGGUUUUAUUUGAAUUGGAGACAUUGUUCCCUCUUCGCUCCUCUACCCCAUAAAAUUCCCUACAAAUGCAAAAAUUCGAGAUAGAAGAAGCCGUCCCUGAAAGUAAGUUCUGAAGGAUUCCUUUCAUGCGGUGAAGGAACAACAACAAUAUUCAACUUCACCUUGGUGUGUGAGGGUCGUCGUGUUUUAAAACACUAUCCCUGUAGAAAGAUUAGUGAAAUGUAUUGGAAGAAGUAGUGGAAACGUGAAUCUUCCUGGUCUCGCGUUUGGAUCUUCUUUGGAGUCCUCACCUUCUUAAAUCUGAUGUUUGUUUGAAAUCAGGGCUGAAUUUCCAUAUAUAGGACAGAAAGAAAGAACCCCAAUUUUUUAAAGAAAGCUCCCCCCCCCCCCGCCACGUUUCUCCUGAGCCCACUUGGUCUCCCGUUAUUAGGCGGCCCAGUUAAGAGGCAUCGAUUUUCCUUUCAUUCUCUGACCACUCGUCUCUCCUGGGCCAGCCAGGCUGCCCGCAUCUUCUCCUGCUCACAGCGCUCUCUAAACCUUUUAAUUAUUUAGUUGCUGUCUAACAUUCACCGGAAACCUCUCCAUAAACAAGGAGAAACGAAUGCACACGCAUUUUUGCUAAGAAGCCCGGGAUUAAGAUUUAAGGAUACAAGCUGAAAGAAAAAAUGAAAAAUGCUUCUCCGCGCGUCAAUCGAGGGGUGGAUGCGCCACGCAGCGUGAGCCCAGCUCACAGCCACGCGUAAGACCAAAAGCUGCCAUGGGUUCUGCGCGCGGAGACCUCAGAGCCGAAGAGAGAAGUCCCCGCGUCAGAAACGCUGCGGAUGCCAGGUCUUGAAAAUGCUGACUUCUGAGGCUAAGAAUUAUUUCAAAGACAAAAAGAAAAGACUGGAGCAGCCGGCGGAGCUCGGGUGGAGGAAAGCGAGGAGGCGACCAGGAGGAUGCCGCCGCCGCCGCCGCAGGGCCCGGGGCUUCUGCAGGGCGCAAGGCCUCCCUCACCAGGGUAAGGGGCUGGCGAUCAACCUGGACGCCUGGGACCUUGGGAGCAAGCAUCCCGCAGCCGAGCAGGCGACGGCGCGGCCACCGCCUAGAGAGGAGCCGGGGCCCGGGGCGGCGUGCGGGUCGGCAGCAGCCGGCUUGGCCUAUCCGAAACCCCAGGCCUGGAAGCGGCUGCUUUAGGCGUCAAGUUGAGCGGGGUAUGUGUGUCCUCUUGGGAAAAAGGUGAGAAAUGGAGCCGGACUUUCUCCACUCGGUAGGGGUUAAGCUACCACACACACCCCCAAACACAUGCCCACGUGCAAGUCCCUCCCACCCGCCCUCCCAGGGGCGAAGAGACCCUGUCCCAGUGGAAGUGGGGAAACCCAGUCGGGUACAGAAAGCAGAGGCCAUGGCGCAGAGCGGAGGCGCGGCUUUCUGGGGCUCAGCCCUAGGGCUACAGACCCAGGGCGCGGAGAUGCUCGCGGCCGGGCCACCCACCAGAGCCAGGCAACCGGCGCUUCCAGGCGAGCUCCGCGGGGCCGAGGUGCCGGGAGAAGCGGCCCCGGGCGCCCGCGCGCUGCCCGACCUGGGUAACAGGCAAAGCGGAGCCCCGGGGUCGAAGUCCUAAAGUUACUAAUCCCGCGGAGGGGGAGAGAGCGUGCCUCGGGCCGCCCGGGGCGGUCAUUUGAGCGUGUUUACUUAAAGACUUUGCAAGCAGAGCGCGCGCGAAAUCGUCGGAUUUCCAGCGAGGCAGCAAAUAUUUGCAGGCAGAAGAAAGAAGCGGAGCCGAGCCGAGCCGCCGAGUCCCUCCCCCCGGAGCCCCGGAGCCCCGGCGCCUGCCUGGGCGGUCCCGGCCGCGCAGACAGAAAAGAAGCCGGGAAUCUGCGGGGCUGGGGGGCGGGGAGCGACACCAAAGGCCAGAAACUGCAGCACGGCCCGAGGCCCUGGCGAGCUGGGCCUGGGGGAGGAGAAGUCCCUUCCCAUUCCAGCUCGAUCAAUCUUGCUGGGCUGCGAUCGGUCAAUAAAAACGGUGUGAAGCGGC